rnacentral:rRNA from 1 species
GACGAACGCUGGCGGCGUGCUUAACACAUGCGAGUCGAACGCUGAAGACCUGGCUUUUGUUGGGUUGGAUGAGUGGCGAACGGGUGAGUAACACGUGAGUAACCUGCCCUCUUCUUUGGGAUAACGCCCGGAAACGGGUGCUAAUACUGGAUAUUCACUGAUCUUCGCAUGGGGGUUGGUGGAAAGGUUUGUUCUGGUGGGGGAUGGGCUCGCGGCCUAUCAGCUUGUUGGUGGGGUGAUGGCCUACCAAGGCUUUGACGGGUAGCCGGCCUGAGAGGGUGACCGGUCACAUUGGGACUGAGAUACGGCCCAGACUCCUACGGGAGGCAGCAGUGGGGAAUAUUGCACAAUGGGCGAAAGCCUGAUGCAGCGACGCCGCGUGAGGGAUGGAGGCCUUCGGGUUGUAAACCCCUUUCGCUCAUGGUCAAGCCGCAACUGUGGGUUGUGGUGAGGGUAGUGGGUAAAGAAGCGCCGGCUAACUACGUG